rnacentral:rRNA from 1 species
UACGUAGGUGGCAAGCGUUAUCCGGAAUGAUUGGGCGUAAAGGGUGCGCAGGCGGAACCAUAAGUCUGAAGUAAAAGCCAUCGGCUCAACCGAUGUAAGCUUUGGAAACUGUGGAUCUGGAGUGCAGGAGAGGACAGUGGAAUUCCAUGUGUGGCGGUAAAAUGCGUAGAUAUAUGGAGGAACACCAGUGGCGAAGGCGGCUGUCUGGCCUGUAACUGACGCUGAGGCACGAAGGCGUGGGGAGCAAAUAGG